AUUAUUUUGACAGAUUAGUGUUUUAAAUUUAGAAUUUAAUUAUAUAUAAAUUAAAUUUAUGUAAAUAAUA
rnacentral:tRNA from 1 species